rnacentral:tRNA from 4 species
CGCGGGUGGAGCAGUUGGCAGCUCGUCGGGCUCAUAACCCGAAGGUCGUAGGUUCAAGUCCUGCCUCCGCAACCA